AUUGAACGCUGGCGGCAGGCCUAACACAUGCAAGUCGAACGAGUGGCGGACGGGUGAGUAAUGUCUGGGCCUGUGCCUGGUGGAGGGGGUUAACUACCGGAAACUGUUGCUACUACCGCAUAUCAUCAGCUGGGCCCAGUUGGGUUUUGCUAGUUGGUGGGGUAACGGCCCACCAAGGCGAGGAUCCCUAGCUGGUCUGAGAGGAUGACCAGUCACACUGGAACUGAGACACGGUCCAGACUCCUACGGGAGGCAGCAGUGGGGAAUAUUGGACAAUGGGCGAAAGCCUGAUGCAGCCAUGCCGCGUGUAUGAAGAAGGCCUUCGGAUUGUAAAGUACUUUCAGCGGGGAGGCGUUACCAGCAGAAGAAGCACCGGCUAACUCCGUGCCAGCAGCCGCGGUAAUUC
rnacentral:rRNA from 1 species